rnacentral:lncRNA from 1 species
UCUUGUUUUAUUUUGAAAACCAAAUCUCCAUUGAUAUAGUUCAGAUCUAGAAGAAAAGUACUAAAAUUUGAGAUGUUGGUUCAUAUCUAGAACGAACAACACUAAAGUUGGAGACGACCGUUCAGAUUUAGAACGAAAAGUACUAAAUUUUGAGAUGUUGGUAGAUGGGAUAUGCUCCAAUUAUGAUUUAAUCAGGUGAGUAGCUACUCAGCCUCUCUAUUAGCCUCUUCUUCUUUUUAUUUCAGAUGACCUAAUUUUCUCGACUGUGUUUUGGUGGGAGGCAGAUCUAGGUUGCAAAGGUUAUAAAUAUAUGUCUUGAAAGCAAAUUGAUGAAGAAGUCAGGAUGAUUAUCUAAAGCAAGCAACUGUCAGUUAUGAAGAUUUUUUAGUCUUCUUUCUUUGUAAUUAAUUUGGUAUUCUUC